AGAAAGAACCAGUCAAGAUGGAACGGAAGGAUUAAGGGGGGAAAUCCCACAAUGGUGUUGCUUUCAUGCAUCUUUGAGAGGGGCUUUCCUCUGUCUUUAUACGAUCAUACAGACAGUGGACAAGGUUUGAGAAGUCAAGAAAAAGACCUUUCUUUCUAUAUUUAAUUCCCUCGGGUCUCUGACUCCUUGAGUUUGAAAACAACUUCGUUUUGGUAGGAUUUUCCUUUGCACUUCUAGAGCCAGUGCAAACGCUGAUCUGUUAGACACGGUUGAAGAGAGUGUAAAAUGAUACAGAUGGUAGUGAUAAAGUGUCUUAAUGUCACCUUCUCCCACCUAGCAUUUUGCCCCUUCCUUAGUGACCUUCAUUUGGCCACUUCUCCUGCUUCAGGGAAAUUUCCGGACAAAGACUCGUGAUUGGCUGUCUGUGAAUUAGAGACACAAAAGCCUUAAACGCCUUUACGUUUAUCUUGUCUAUUUCCAGAAAGAAAGACACAGUGUAGACGGAGAAGAAUGCCAUGUUUGAAGACGUGCGCUUCAUCUAGAAACUCCAAGGCAGUCUCUGAAAUGUGCAGAAUCCAUGAAGGCUACCUUGCCCAAUUUCCACCUCCCUCAAAUCUCACAAGGACAACCAACUUAUUGGGUGCCAGGAGCAGAGUAUUUCCAAGAAGCCUUCAGUGAGUUCAAACAUGGGAUGAGAAAAAUAAGAUAAAAGUUUUAAAACUAAAUGCAAAUUCCCACACUUGGAUUCAAAACCAGCAUCUUCAGCAGUGCACAACUGGGGAGACUUGACGGGGGGGGGGCGCAGCUUCACAUGGUUCAGUUUUAAAAACCCUCUGUGAGGACUUGUCCUGUUUUAGCAUUUUUAUCCUUUUCAAUGUCUGUGUCUCUGAGAGUCUGUGGAUUAUUUUAUCAUUAAAUGCCGUGUCCGGGGAGGAGAAGCAGAGAGCAAAGACCCCCUGUGAAAUUGCUCUCAUUCAGAAAGUUCCACUUUGGACAGAAUCAUAUUGGAACGACCUGAUCAUGAGUUUAUAUGAACAGUGGUUUAAUUAAUUCCCAACUCCCCCACCAUAGCAUUUGCAAAAUGGAAAUUUUUGGAAAUAUUUCCCCCCUUAAAUAUUUUGGUUCAGCUGAUUUCAGGAAAAAAAGAAUGCCACUGUUGGUAUCUGCACAACAUAUUGAAAAUGCCAUGGCCAUUAGGAUGCCUUUAGAGACAUCUUCAACCUUCACCUUCACACAGAUCAGACCUACCAUUUAUUAUUUCUGUCCCUCUCUAAAUCUGCAUAGAUGAUUCUGAAAAAGUGAGAAAUUGCUUAGGGUCAAAAGGGAGGAUGCCGUAAGGAAACAUCUUCCUUCUGUACACAAGAAAAUAGCUUUAGAGUGUUUGGAAUAGUUUAAUGUAAUCAACACAGGCUGGAUACCAGUAUGAAUUUGAGAGUUUUAAACUUUUUGACUCGCAGUUUGGGUUUUUAUAGAACACUCUGUAAUGCACCUGAAGAGGCCAUGAUUAUAAAGCUCAAACUGAAGUCCCCAAACAGGGGCUCAGAUUGGUGCUGUGGGGUGAGGGGAAAGGACUGCUCUGUCCUCUGCUAACCGGGCAUCAUGUAUUAGUAGGAGCCUGAACUUGGGCCAUGGAGCGGUCCUAGAUGUCAAUUCCUCUGUUUCCUUAAGGCCAGCAAUUGUCUUAUUUAUUCUGGCACUCUGGAGCAUCUGGCAGGGGUACACAGCACAUCAUCAGUGCUACGUGAACAUUUAUAAAUCGACCAGUAUCAAAAUGUGAACAAUUACAGGUUCUCCAUACAAAUGUGCAUAUACAGGAACACAACACACACAUUGUUAAUGUGUAAAACGGUAAAUGUGUAAAGUCAACAAGAACACACCAUGUGCCACGGCUAAAUGUUAACGCAGGUUACCUAAAAUGUGGUUUUGGUUUGAUUUUUAAGGGCAUUUGGGGGAAAAUGAAGAACAUUAAAAAAAAAAAAAAACUGUCUUACCGUACAGGUAUUUUCCUUCAUAAAA